rnacentral:rRNA from 1 species
GACAGAGGAUGCAACGUUGUUCGGAAUUACUGGGCGUAAAGCGCAUGUAGGCGGCCAAGCAGGUCGGAUGUGAAUCCCUCGGCUCAACCAAGGAAGUGCAUUCGAAACCGCAUGGCUGGAGUCCCGGAGAGGAUGGUGGAAUUCUCGGUGUAGAGGUGAAAUUCGGUAGAUAUCGAGAGGAACACCGGCGGCGAAGGCGGCCAUCGUGGACGAGGACUGACGCUGAGAUGCGAAGCGU